rnacentral:piRNA from 1 species
UGGGCAGAUAGUAUUUUCAAUACUGAAGAG